rnacentral:misc_RNA from 1 species
AAUUCUCAACUAUACGAGUUUUUUUCUGAAAGCCUGUAUAGCUUGGACUUGGGAUUUUGCGGGCUCAUUUCGAGCCGGCUGUCCUUAAAUGCAUUAGCAGAGCUUUUGCCGCUAACCAUUGGUGUGAUAAUUAUCUACGCCAUUGAGACGCGACAUGAAUAGGGCUUAGCUUCUAAUCGUCCCUUUGGACAAUACUUGACAAU